UACGAGUGCUUCGAGCGUUAUCCGGAAUCAUUGGGCGUAAAGAGUGUGUAGGCGGCGAUGUUAGUCUCGCGUUAAAUCUUUCGGCUCAACCGAGAGUCUGCGCGGGAAACGGCAUUGCUAGAGGAUGGUAGGGGUCUCUGGAACUCUAGGUGUAGCGGUGAAAUGCGUUGAUAUCUAGGGGAACACCGAAAGCGAAGGCAAGAGACUGGACCACUCCUGACGCUGAAACACGAAAGCGUGGGUCGCGAAUGGG
rnacentral:rRNA from 1 species